AGAAAAAUAAAUACUAUGAACCAUGAGUCGAUAAAUAAACAUAGUUCUAUAAAAAAAAAUGAGAAUAUCUACCUUUUAGCUGAUAACUUGUUGUAAAUAGAGAUAGAGAUCGAAGAAACGUGUGUAUUAUUCUAAUGAAUAGAGGGUAUUUUAUAUCAAUGUGGAGGGGAAGGGUUUUACUUGGGUGACAAAGUAAAACCCUAUGUACAAGUAAUUUUAGAGACUUCUAUAAAAUGAAUCUUAUAAUGGGCAUCCAUCUAUUAUUUAGAACAACUAGGUGAUCACCCGCGCUACGCCGCGGGUUUUUUGGAUUUUUUGUAUUGUUUAACUUAAAUAUAUAAAUAAUUUAUUUAUCUAAUCAUUCACUCAUGCAAUAAGCAAUUACUUUUAGUAUUUAAAAUAUUUUUUCUAACAAAUUCUCACCAAUGCAUCAUGCACAUAAUUCAUAAACAACGUUUGUCUUAAACCAUUUUAAUAGAUGGUAGUGUUGGAUUCUAGAAACUUAAGAAUUUGAUAGUGGAGCUCCUUACGUAUUCCUCACCCUCAAUAAUUUAUUAUAUAAAUAUCAAUUUAGGAGAAUAUAAAUAUCAAUUUAAGAGAAUAACUUACUCAAAUCAUUAAGUAAUCCACGACUAUUAUACACUCAUACUUUGUGUUUGGAUUACAAAAAAAAAAUCUUCGAGUAUGAGAAAACUAUUAUAAUGGUUUUAUUGAAAAAUCAUGUAAUAUUAAAAUAAAUUUAGUAAUAGUACAACUAA
rnacentral:sRNA from 1 species